GCAUAAUCAUCCAUAUCAAUGACUUUAAAGAUAGCUUUCUCAUAUCGGGCCUUGGCUUCCUCAGCAAGUGCCUUUGCGAAGCCUUCUGCUGUACCAGUCUGGGUUCCAAAAAAGAUGGCAAUCUUCUUCUUUCCAUCAUCAAUCUCUUCAGGUUCUACAACCGACUUAGGAACCACCAACUUAGGUAACUCCACAACCUUUCUAGCAGAUGUUGACGAGCGCCGCCACAUCAAAACAACAGCACAUCCGAUUAAAACAGCUACUGAUGUUGUCAAUAUCAUCAUCAAAUCCUUAUUCUCCAUCAACAAAGCUGUCAGUGAAGCCGGAGAAGUUGAGUCACCAGAAUCUAAUGACGAAUUCAGUUUAUCAAAUAUCUUUCCUCCUUUAAAAAUCGCCGCCAUAAAAUCAAAAGGAGAAAGCUUUUCUGAUGUAGAAUCCAUUUCUGUGAAUAAUCGAAAAAUGUAGUUUGCUCAACUGGGUAAUCGCUAAUUACCCAGCUAAAGAUGAUUUAGCCAAAGACGAUUAAAAAGAGAGUUGUGUUUGUUGUUUGGCUUAGAAUUUGGUUAGGUUUGGAGAGACUUUGUGAGAGAAGGGAGAGC
rnacentral:misc_RNA from 1 species